AAUCAACGCUGGCGGCGUGCCUAACACAUGCAAGUCGAACGCGAAAGCCCCGCAAGGGGUGAGUAGAGUGGCAAACGGGUGAGUAACACGUGGGUGAUCUGCCUCAGAGUGGGGGAUAACGACCCGAAAGGGUCGCUAAUACCGCAUAACAUCCUGCCUUUGGAUAGGUGGCGAUCAAAGUUGGGGAUCCGCAAGGACCUGACGCUUGGGAGAGGAGCCCGCGGCCGAUUAGCAGGUUGGUGAGGUAACGGCUCACCAAGGCAACGAUCGGUAUCCGGCCUGAGAGGGCGGACGGACACACUGGGACUGAGACACGGCCCAGACUCCUACGGGAGGCAGCAGUGGGGAAUUGUUCGCAAUGGGCGCAAG
rnacentral:rRNA from 1 species